UGGCGCUGGCUGCUCGUCUGUGGCGCCUUCUGCCUUUCCGACGUGGAGCCGCCCCGGGGUCUCGUCUCCCUGCGGGGACUUUGGGCAGCCGCGGGCAUUGCGGCCGCUGUCGAUUCCGCGGCUUCGAGGUAAUGGGAAACCCAGGAACUUUCAAAAGAGGCCUUUUACUCUCAGCUUUGUCGUAUUUGGGUUUUGAAACUUACCAGGUUAUCUCUCAGGCUGCUGUGGUUCAUGCCACAGCCAAAGUGCGGCAAUAUUAGAACCCAAGGAAGGAAAAACUGGCAAAGUUGUCAUAUGCCAAGUGGCCAGUGCCUCCUGAAAUGAAGGUAGGUUCACUUGGUCUCUCCUAAGAAGAAGAGAAUGUCCAGGAAAUAAAAUAUUUAAAAAACCAUUGAAAAUCCAACAAACCCCAGCCUUGAGGUGCGCAUGGAGUGCAUGGGAUAAGAAGGGAAUCAAGUAGCAGCAUUCAGAAGCAGUCCUGGGUUCAUCCUGACGAGGUCUCUCCUUCAUUCAGGGAGAGGUGGCUUUCCCGUGCUGGGAGGGAGGUGGAAGGAGGCAUGACUUAGACAUUGGUGGUGGUCUCCUUAGCAGCCUGGAUGCUGUUCAUCUCCAUGAUGCCAUCCUUCCCUGAUCUAUCUGCACCAUGUGCCUGCCUUUCAAAGGCCCAUGUGAUAUCCUCAAAAGCCCUGCCAUGGGUCUCAGGGACUUCGAAGAAGGUAAAGGUCAAGAAGGUGAUGAGGAAGUUGGCGAAGACAAUAAAAAUACAGGCUCCUAAAUAAUAAGCAGCAGAGGGGAAGAGC
rnacentral:sRNA from 1 species